rnacentral:lncRNA from 1 species
AACAGGAUUCAUCUGUCUGCUGAAGCAUGGCUUUCCCCAAAGAUGUAACUGCAAGCAUCAUAUUUAAGAAAUGCCCUUUAAGAGCUAUCCAGAAGAAGAAGAGAAAAUUGAGUUGCUAACGGUGUCUACUCAGGUGCUCACCCAGGUAGAUACACUGCUCAUCAUGGAGACUGCCUCACAAUACUGGGAACUUAAGCCCAAAAUUUUUGCCAAUUUAUACUAAAUAUAAGAUAAGCCACAGAAUACAAUUUCUUCUAGACCAGAGCAUUCCACAGUUCCAGGGACAUUUUGAUAUGGAUCCAGACAAAGCAGGUAAAACUUUGCUCUUGAUUGCCACAUCAGCUACUUUUGUUUGGCCCAGUUAUAAAUAAUAACCCCAGCUCAAUUUGGGCUUUUUAGCAAAACAGACCAGCUGUGAUUUUGGUGACAUAAUUCUCUCAUGUGCCACUUCAGAUAAAAAUUUUGCCCAAUGGACAACCUACAUCAGAUACCUUUUUUAAUAACAAAGCCACAGUGAGUUAAUAGUUUCUUAAUUCAGGAUAACUUUACCAUCAAUCUAUUUUUUUGCAUCAAGUAACACAAUCAAUGGAUGCACAACAAUUUAAUUGUUCUGGAAAAUAUUUUUCAAUUCAGUUCCGAGAUAGGCACUGCUGUUUACUGCACUGCUUCUCUUCUCCCUUUUAAAUCUUUCUGCUCUUAUAUUACAUUAAUUCCAAUAGUCCAUUCACAGUUUUGAUCAAACAGCGCUCAUUCUUGCUCUUCCAAUUACUUGAGAAUAAGUAAAGGACAGGGGAGUGGAGAUAAUCUCUUCUAUUAAGUAAGUUUUAAAUUACCUUUCUUCUUUUGCCUCUUAUUGUUGCCAUAAAAAAUUAUACAAGCAGUGAAAACAUUUUCUUCAGCUCUGUAAUGUGCAAGUAGAAAUUUUGGAGUAGUUACACUGCAAUUACACUUUUUGACCAAAAAGCAGUUAUAUUAAUGGGAAUAAAUAAAGUGUAGUUAUGGUCUUGGUAAUGUAA